UUUGAGAGUUUGAUCCUGGCUCAGGAUGAACGCUGGCGGCGUGCCUAAUACAUGCAAGUCGCGCGGAAACACUUCGGGUGUCGAGCGGCGGACGGGUGAGUAACGCGUAGGAAUGUACCCCAAAGUGAGGGAUAACCAUCCGAAAGGAUGGCUAAUACCGCAUGUGGUCUAAGGAUUAAAGCCUUCGGGCGCUUUGGGAGCAGCCUGCGUCGGAUUAGCUUGUUGGUGAGGUAACGGCUUACCAAGGCGACGAUCCGUAGCUGGUUUGAGAGGAUGAUCAGCCACACUGGGACUGAGACACGGCCCAGACUCCUACGGGAGGCAGCAGUAAGGAAUUUUCCGCAAUGGGCGAAAGCCUGACGGAGCAACGCCGCGUGCAGGACGAAGGUCUUCGGAUUGUAAACUGCUUUUGUGAACGAGGAAUAUGACAGUAAUUCACGAAUAAGGGCCUGCUAACUACGUGCCAGCAGCAGCGGUCAUACGUAGGGCCCGAGCGUUAUCCGGAUUUACUGGGCGUAAAGAGUUGCGUAGGCGGUCGUUUAAGCAAUCCAUGAAAGCGUGUGGCUCAACCAUACAAUUGUGGGUUGAACUGAACGACUAGAGUAUAGGAGAGGUCGCCGGAAUUUCUAGUGGAGGAGUGAAAUCCGUAGAUAUUAGAAGGAACACCGAUGGCGUAGGCAGGUGACUGGCCUAUUACUGACGCUAAGGCACGAAAGCGUGGGGAGCGAACGGGAUUAGAUACCCCGGUAGUCCACGCCGUAAACGAUGGAUGCUAGCUGUAUGAGGUUCUAUCCCUUGUGUAGCGCAGCUAACGCAUUAAGCAUCCCGCCUGUGGAGUACGAGCGCAAGCUUAAAACAUAAAGGAAUUGACGGGGACCCGCACAAGCGGUGGAGCGUGUUGUUUAAUUCGAUGGUAAGCGAAGAACCUUACCAGGGUUUGACAUCCUACCAAGUUUUGGGAAACCAAAAUGUGCCUCCGGGCCGUAGUGACAGGUGAUGCAUGGCCGUCGUCAGCUCGUGUCGUGAGAUGUUGGGUUAAGUCCCGCAACGAGCGCAACCCCUAUAUUUAGUUAUAUUUCUCUAGAUAGACUGCCCUGGCAACAGGGAGGAAGGAGGGGACGAUGUCAGGUCAUUAUUUCCCUUACACCCUGGGCUACAAACACGCUACAAUGGCCGGUACAAAGGGCAGCGAACCCGCGAGGGCAAGCAAAUCUCAUCAAAGCCGGUCCCAGUUCGGAUUGCAGGCUGAAACUCGCCUGCAUGAAGCCGGAAUCGCUAGUAACGGUAAGUCAGCACAUUACCGUGAAUAAGUUCCCGGGUCUUGUACACACCGCCCGUCAAGCCACGGAAGUCAGGGGCACCCGAAGUGCGUCCAUCAAGGACGCCCUAAGGUGAAUUUGGUAACUGGGGUUAAGUCGUAACAAGGUAUCCGUAGCGGAAGCUGCGGAUGGAUUACCUCCUUUCUA
rnacentral:rRNA from 1 species